rnacentral:lncRNA from 1 species
AAUAAUAAUACAUAUUAUAUGCAACCUUUAUUUAAUAAAAAUUAAUAUUUUUGGAUUGUUCAAUGUUGUGCAUAAUGGUGUCUGGUGGCCAUUGUAAUGAAAGAAUGAUGGUAUCAUGAAUAACUUAUGUUACAUCAUACUAUUUGUCUUAGGAUAUAAUAAAUAAAAAUGGAUUCCAGAGGCAGUUAUAAUGUCGAAGUAAUUGUCAUGCUCGCU